rnacentral:rRNA from 1 species
GAUGAACGCUGGCGGCGUGCCUAAUACAUGCAAGUCGAGCGAACAGACGAGGAGCUUGCUCCUCUGACGUUAGCGGCGGACGGGUGAGUAACACGUGGAUAACCUACCUAUAAGACUGGGAUAACUUCGGGAAACCGGAGCUAAUACCGGAUAAUAUAUUGAACCGCAUGGUUCAAUAGUGAAAGACGGUUUUGCUGUCACUUAUAGAUGGAUCCGCGCCGCAUUAGCUAGUUGGUAAGGUAACGGCUUACCAAGGCGACGAUGCGUAGCCGACCUGAGAGGGUGAUCGGCCACACUGGAACUGAGACACGGUCCAGACUCCUACGGGAGGCAGCAGUAGGGAAUCUUCCGCAAUGGGCGAAAGCCUGACGGGGCAACGCCGCAUGAGUGAUGAAGGUCUUCGGAUCGUAAAACUCUGUUAUUAGGGAAGAACAAAUGUGUAAGUAACUAUGCACGUCUUGACGGUACCUAAUCAGAAAGCCACGGCUAACUACGUG